rnacentral:rRNA from 1 species
CAGUCGCCGCGGUAAUACGUAGGUCCCGAGCGUUAUCCGGAUUUAUUGGGCGUAAAGCGAGCGCAGGCGGUUAGAUAAGUCUGAAGUUAAAGGCUGUGGCUUAACCAUAGUACGCUUUGGAAACUGUUUAACUUGAGUGCAGAAGGGGAGAGUGGAAUUCCAUGUGUAGCGGUGAAAUGCGUAGAUAUAUGGAGGAACACCGGUGGCGAAAGCGGCUCUCUGGUCUGUAACUGACGCUGAGGCUCGAAAGCGUGGGGAGCAAACAGGAUUAGAGACCCCUGUAGUCCCUGUCUCUUAUACA